UGAGUAACACGUGGAUAAUCUGCCCUUCGGUGGGGAAUAACUAAGCGAAAGUUUAGCUAAUACCGCAUAAGACCACAAUAACUGAGGUUAAAGGGGUUAAAGUUUUAAUGCCGAAGGAUGAGUCUGCGUAGGAUUAGCUAGUUGGUGAGGUAAUGGCUCACCAAGGCUACGAUCCUUAACAGGUCUGAGAGGAUGACCUGUCACACUGGAACUGAGACACGGUCCAG
rnacentral:rRNA from 1 species